rnacentral:rRNA from 1 species
GCGGUGUAAAAUGAGCGUGCGUCCUAUUAGCUAGUUGGUGAGGCAAUGGCUCACCAAGGCUACGAUGGGUAGGGGUUCUUAGUGGAAGAUCCCCCACACUGGCACUGAGAUACGGGCCAGACUCCUACGGGAGGCAGCAGUAGGGAAUAUUGGUCAAUGGGCGAAAGCCUGAACCAGCCAUGCCGCGUGCAGGAUGACAGCUCUCUGAGUUGUAAACUGCUUUUGUACAGGAGCAAAACAAUCCCUGCGGGGGUUCUUGAGAGUACUGUAAGAAUAAGCACCGGCUAAUUCCGUGCCAGCAGCCGCGGUAAUACGGAAGGUGCAAGCGUUAUCCGGUUUUAUUGGGUUUAAAGGGUGCGUAGGCGGCUUAUUAAGUCAGUUGUGAAAUCCUAGUGCUUAACGCUAGAACUGCAAUUGAUACUAUUAGGCUUGAGUUAAGAAUAGGU